GAUGAAGAACGUAGCGAAAUGCGAUACGUAGUGUGAAUUGCAGAAUUCAGUGAAUCAUCGAAUCUUUGAACGCACAUUGCACCUCUCGGUAUUCCGGGAGGUAUGCCUGUUCGAGCGUCAUUUGUACCCUCAAGCUCUGCUUGGUGUCGGGUGUUUGUUCCGCCUCUGUGUGUGAACUCGCCUCAAAACAAUUGGCAGCCGGCGUACUUGUUUCGGAGCGCAGCACAUUUUGCGAUCCAGAUCAACGUACAGCGGCAUCCAAGAAGCCUUAUUUAACGCUCUUGACCUCGGAUCAGGUAGGGAUACCCGCUGAACUUAAGCAUAUCAAUAAGCGGAGGA
rnacentral:misc_RNA from 1 species